GGAAGCUUUGUUUUUUCGCUCUUUGCAAUGAAUCUUGCUACUGCUCACUCUUUGGGUCCACGCUGCUUUUAUGAGCUGUAACACUCACCACGAAGAUCUGCAGCUUCACUCCUGAGCCCAGCAAGACCCCGAGCCCACCAGGAGGAACGAACAACGCCAGACGCGCUACCUUAAGAGGUGUAACACUCACCGCGAAGGUCUGCAGCUUCACUCCUGAGCCAGAGAGACCACGAACCCACCAGAAGGAAGAAACUCCCAACACAUCUGAACAUCAGAAGGGACAGACUCCAGACGCGCCACCUUAAGAGCUGUAACACUCACUGUGAGGGUCUGCGGCUUCAUUCUUCAAGUCAGUGAGACCAAGAACCCACCAAUUCCGGACACACUACUGUUGCAGAAGUGUGUCCUUGGUCAAGCAUUUACAGACAAGAGUGGAGAAAAAUGGAAACUCAUCAAACAAGUGAUAUAAGUAGAGAAGUCUGGCACAUUGAUGUUAUCACCAGAUAUGGCUUCAUAGGAGGGAACAGUGCACAUUGAAGUUGACAGCCACCGCAGCCACUGCAGGGCCCAGCCGUACCCUUAGGAAAGGUGUGAAUCUCAGAACACCCCAUACACGAGGAUCCUGUCCCCAUGAUCCUCGUGGCUUAACUCUUUGUACCUUCUUGAUUCAAUUCGGUGCCUUUUCAUUUAAUAUCUCUUUUAAACCUUUCUCCAUACACAUUUCCCUCUCCCCAAAAGAAAGAAAUUUCUAAAAAUAUAUAUAACUGUAAGCAGCAGAACGUUUUCUGCAAAUGUCACAUCCUUGUUCUUUUUGUUUUUUGUUUUGUUUUGCUU
rnacentral:lncRNA from 10 species